rnacentral:rRNA from 1 species
AUUGAACGCUGGCGGCAGGCUUAACACAUGCAAGUCGAACGAGUGGCGGACGGGUGAGUAAUGCUUGGGAAUCUGGCCUAUGGAGGGGGAUAACGACGGGAAACUGUCGCUAAUACCGCGUACCAUAGGAUGAGCCCCAGUGGGAUUAGGUAGUUGGUGGGGUAAUGGCCUACCAAGCAGACGAUCUCUAGCUGGUCUGAGAGGAUGACGAGCCACACCGGGACUGAGAGGCGGCCCGGACUCCAACGGGAGACAGCAGUGGGGAAUAGUGCGCAGUGGGGGCAACCCUGACGCAGCCAUGCCGCGUGGAUGAAGAAGGCCUUCGGGUUGUAAAGCUCUGUCGGUAAUGAGGCGUUAACUACAGAAGAAGCACCGGCUAACUCUCUGCCAGCAGCCGCGGUAAUUC